rnacentral:rRNA from 1 species
CCUACGGGUGGCAGCAGUGAGGAAUAUUGGUCAAUGGACGAGAGCCUGAACCAGCCAAGUCGCGUGAGGGAGUACUGCCCUAUGGGUUGUAAACCUCUUUUGUCGGGGAGCAAAAUCCGGCCGUUUCCGGCUGUUAUAUUACCCGAAUGAAUAGCAUCGGCUAACUCCGUGCCAGCAGCCGCGGUAAUACGGGGGAUGCGAGCGUUAUCCGGAUUUAUUGGGUUUAAAGGGGGCGAAGGCGGGUUUUUAAGUCCGCGGUCAAAUCGUGGGGCUCAACCCCAUACAGCGGUUGAAACUGGGGAUCUAGAGUGUGCGAGAGGUAGGCGGAAUGCGUGGUGUAGCGGUGAAAUGCAUAGAUAUCACGCAGAACCCCGAUUGCGAAGGCAGCACACCGGGGCACAACUGACGCUCAGGCACGAAAGCGUGGGUAUCGAACAGGAUUAGAUACCCGUGUAGUC